AACGACUCUCGGCAACGGAUAUCUCGGCUCUCGCAUCGAUGAAGAACGUAGCGAAAUGCGAUACUUGGUGUGAAUUGCAGAAUCCCGUGAACCAUCGAGUCUUUGAACGCAAGUUGCGCCCGAAGCCUUCCGGCCGAGGGCACGUCUGCCUGGCCGUCACGC
rnacentral:rRNA from 1 species